CCCAGAACAGAUACAGAAAGGGUAGUGAGCUCUUUUCUGUCUGACAUGAAGAGCAAUUUUUCACAGCUGUGUGGAUUUCCAGUAAAGAUGACAAGUAAAGCACUUUAUGCUACAAAGGAACUCUCCAGAGCUUCGGUGCAUGAAAUAAAACCUAAGCAUACGAAAUUGGACGGCGAGAUGGUUUGUGCAGUAUCUCUAACGCAGGCUCCUCCAAGAAAACCUACUUUGCCUGACAUUCCUUCACCGUGCAAUACGGAAAACAGCCACUGGAUGGAGCGUUUGAUCAAAGAGCCAGGAACAAACAGUUUUUCGAGCAGCAGUAGCAGUUUUUCGAGUACAGGAGGGGUUAGCAUUGAACCAACAGAGAAAUCAAUGAGCAAUAAGCAAAUGCCAGGCGUUCCACAGUUACCAACUGCAAAAUCUUUAGGAACACCUGUAAGCUCAGCCUUUGAAGCCACGCUUCCAAAAGUCAGCAAAAUUAUACCAAUUUUCAAAGGAAAGUUGAUGCAAAUGAAUGGAAAGAUCACAAAUCAAACAGAUAGGAAGAAAAAGGAAAAUGCUGAAAGGCAUUCACCAAGAAAAAGUGUGGGUGUUUCGUCUUCUAUGCUUUCUGUGCACAAAUCCAGCAUAACUCAGAUUUUCAAACACAUUCAAAAUAUGCCAGUCAAAACUCCUACUGACAGCAGCAUGCUUCAGGUAAAGAACAAGAAUACACACACAAAACAUCGUACACCCAUAUUCCAAUGGAAAACCCAGUCUAGUGGACAAAUGGAUAACUCUGAUUUUUCUGAAAACUCAGCUUUAGGUGGGAAUCCAAGUGAAAUCAAUCACAAAAAGGCAAAUUCUCCAUUCUUUCUUAAGAAUUUUGGGCCAGUGCUUCAGAAAUCAAACUCCAGUCCAUGUCCACAUGAAUCUUUUAGUUCCAGUGCAAGAAGGGGGAAAAAGUUUGCAAGUCAAAAUACUGCUCAAUUUCUUGAGAAACAACACCAAUCAACGGAAGUGCAUUUGCAGAUUUGUAAAUUAGACAUUAAAAUGACAAAUUCCAGUUUGUCAAUGCAGCAAACAAAGAGAUCAAAUAAAGGACCUGGGUUAAAUAUGCAUGAAUCUGUCUUCAAACAUACAGUGUGCAUGGUCAAGAGUGAAGAAAACAAAGCAGCAUGCCACUCUCAGGACUGUACUGCUGGGACAACCAGUCAUCAUUCCAAACCUAACUUUGAACAGAUGAUUACAGGGAACAAGUAUCUGACAUGUGAAACACUGACCUCAAAACCAACUUUGCCAGUCAAGGAGAGCAACAUGGAAGCAUCUGUAAAGAAAAGUUGUGCCAGACGAAGACAGGUAAACCCUCCCCACACACACAUACACUUCUUAAUCCAGUCCAGAAGGACCUGAAU
ensembl:lncRNA